UUUUUAUAUAUAUCGAAUGUGAUUUCGCAAGCCACUUUCCCAUAUCUUCUUGGAAAUCAUAGAUUAAAAAAAGAGGAACGUCUUAGACAUCUUUAAUAUUAAUUUGUAUGCAUAUGACUCAAUUAGAAAACGAGAUCUUUUGAAAUCGAAGAGACGUACGGAAGAAGGAAAAAUGAAGUAUAAAUUUGAAUAAAGUUUUCUAAAGAAGAAAGAUUAUGUUACAUAUAUAUAUAUAUAUAUAUAAAGUACGUGUACAUGUGUGUGUUAAAAUGAAGGUGAUUUGUGCAAUCUUUUGAAGCUUUAGAACGUACAAAGAGAGAAGAGCAUCAAUAGAAUAAAAUUGGAAGAGGAAAUGGCACCAAUGAGAUCAGGACCAUUAGAGUGAGCACAAGCAAGAAGAUACGUUUGGUACGAACCAAGCGAGUAGCUACGAUAAAAUAUAGGCUAAAAAUACGUAAAGUGUACCGACAUGAGAAAAAAAAAUGUGAAAAACUAAAAAAUAUUAAAAAUAAAAGUUGAUCCAUCGGUAUCAGGGUAUUCCCAGUACUAACCAAUUCCUGAGUCAUCGUCUUCGAUCGCGGAUACUGCCGUGACUAAGGUGAUAAUUAUCUUUUAAAUCGAUCUCUUAGGUCAAUAAUCCGUAAAGUUAAAAAAAAUGAGAGAAAACAUUUCAUCGAAAAAUAUAUUUUUAGACGAAUCUUUUUGAGAAUUAUUAUAAAUUACAAUGGUAAUUAAUAAGACCUGCAAUUUAAAUAUAUUAGGUCAUUGAGCAGCAUGCAAUGUCUAAUUACUCUAAUUACUCUGAUUAUUUUCAGUUCGAAAUCGGAUAUUUCUUACUUAAUCAUCUACUAUUUUAUGAUACGAUGUUAUCAAAGUUUCUUCGCAGAUUAUUAAUUUGUUCUCGAAUAAAAAAAAUAACAAAAGUGCAUAAUUGCAAUGUUAGAUCGUUUCUUGAUAACAUCAUUACGCGUUAUAAUAAAAAUAAGUCUCGUAUCGAGCGAAGGACGUUUGGUAAAUGCAAUGAUCUGUGAUGUCGUCUUAUGUAUGACGAUGACAUUGAAAAAUAAUUGAACCGGUACUAAAACAACUCUGUGUUUCAUAUUUAUCGUUUCAACUGCAUACAAUCGAUUAAACUUAUCAAGUACAGGUGAAAAUAAUGAGAGUUAUAAUUCAAAUAUUAUAUUCCCAGGAUCAACAAUAUUACAUUGGUAAUAUUAUUAGAUUCGAUGCAAAAAAUAGCUCAGUAUUUCUGAUAAAAUACGUACUACCUUCUUAGCACAAUUCUACAACCACAAAAUCCGGUCGGUAAUUAAGAGGAGAACCUGUUUCUGAACUCGUUUGAAUAUAUUCCAAUAAAUAUAAUAAGUUGUUUAUACAAAGAGAACGAGUUCUUACUUUAGAAAUAUCUAAAAAAUAAUAUUGCAAAAAUAUUCCUCUCUUCGGUGAAUAUUAAUUUAAUAAUUAAAAUACACAAAACCAAUUACUAAUAUUAAUAUUUUGUUGCAGGUAAGAAAUGCGAGAAGAAACGAUUACGGACAGUUCAACUGGAAUUGGAAAUAGUACUUAUCGAACUGGAGAUGACGUGUUGGUAUGCAACGAAGACUCAAAUUGUUUAAACAUCAUUCAUUCAUUUGUUAACGAUGUUCCAUAAAUACAACGAUGAAAUAUCAUUGAUUUAUUUUGGAAUCAAAAAGAAGAAAAAUUUAAAUCGUUCGAAAGUUGGCGCGGUUGAUCUGAUUCUCGUAGAGCGACACUAGCGCCACCCCUUUCGUAGUCGAGUGACAGAGUGUGCGAAAAUGGUGGAAAGUUCUAUUUACGUUAGACGUGUAAAAUAUUCGUUACGUGGAUGAUAAUAGCUCGAGAUAUCUCUUCGUUUAUUGCAUGUGCUACAAUUCCUUUAUGGAUAAAUGCAGAGAAGUAUUGAAGAUGCCAUGGAUAAAAGCUGUGCAAGAAAUUUCAAAUUAUUUUCAAAAAGUUAUAUUCCAAGAAAAAAUGAAAUAUUUA
rnacentral:lncRNA from 1 species